GACGAACGCUGGCGGCGUGCUUAACACAUGCAAGUCGAACGGAAAGACCCUGCUUUUGUGGGGUGCUCGAGUGGCGAACGGGUGAGUAACACGUGAGUAACCUGCCCUUGACUUUGGGAUAACUUCAGGAAACUGGGGCUAAUACCGGAUAGGAGCUCCUGCUGCAUGGUGGGGGUUGGAAAGUUUCGGCGGUUGGGGCUGGACUCGCGGCUUAUCAGCUUGUUGGUGGGGUAGUGGCUUACCAAGGCUUUGACGGGUAGCCGGCCUGAGAGGGUGACCGGCCACAUUGGGACUGUGAUACGGCCGAGACUCCGGCGGGGGGCAGCAGUGGGGAAUAUUGGACAAUGGGCGGGAGCCUGAUGAAGCAACGCCGCGUGCGGGAUGACGGCCUUCGGGUUGUAAACCGCUUUCGCCUGUGACGAAGCGUGAGUGACGGUAAUGGGUAAAGAAGCACCGGCUAACUACGUG
rnacentral:rRNA from 1 species